AUAGUUCUCUGAAGAUGUCCAUGCAGUGUGCAGAGAAUAAAACUGAGACUAUAUUAUUGCCCUUUUAUAAAUCCAUGGUACGCCCACAUCUCGAAUACUGUGUACAGAUGUGGUCUCCUCA